AUUGAGGGGAGAAGUUUUCUAUUAAGUGCACAUACUCCAAGAGUUAGAAAGGUCAGUCACUUCUCAGGAAGCUUUGGAAAUCCUAUAAAAUGCUUCCAUGUAUUUAAGUAUCUGAAAAUAUGAAGCAAAAAAUAGAUUAACAAAAAUGUUGAGAAAGAGGAUUGCUCAGAGAGUAAAAAUAAAAGGAAAAACCCCAUCAGGGAAGUAACUGGCAUCAUCUCAAGCCUAGCUCAGUGUGGGAGACUCCCAGCCUUUGCACACCGACUGCAUUGCUGAUUCCCUGUGUGCAAAAGGUUCCAAGAGAGUACAAUUGAUUAGAUGCAUAUUUUCUGAAUUAUACAACAGAUCACACCCAGCUGCACAGCUUUUCUCAGAACUGCAGGUUCAGCAAUACAACGGAUCAGUUAGAGAAGCUGCUGCUGCUUUUCAAAGAACUGAAGAGUGGUCAGUAAAGAAGAGGAAAAGCCACUUGGCAUGGCAAGAAAAAGGUGCUGUUCCACCGAAUUCUUGA
rnacentral:lncRNA from 1 species